rnacentral:lncRNA from 1 species
CUCCAUGCUAAUGAAGUUUAAAAUUUUAAUUUUAGCUGUUCCAGCUGACUGUGACCUUUCCAGAGAAUGGAGCUCCAGUCUAACGGCUGUAAAAAGAUUGCUCAGCGAGAAUAGAUUUUUACAAUAGGAAGCAGCAUAUGAGGACAAUGCAGGUUUUUUCAUUUAUGUGUUUUGUUCACUUUGCAUUGACUCUACAAUUUUUUUAUUGAGUGCCUUCUAGGUGUCAGGCACCAUUGUGGUCACUGGGGAUAGAUGUGGCUGUGAAGAAACCUGCCAGAGUCUCCAUCGCCCAGCAUGACACCGCAGCUCCGUGGCAUAGCCACAAAUGGCCCAUCAGGAAUGAUUUCCACGUCCAGAGCCCAUGGACCACAGCACUCUGAAGCAAGCCUUUUUAGCACCUGUUGGUGUCGUGGAGAUGGUAAACUUAGAGUCACGGGCCAGCCAAUGCCUCUUGCCAAGUGGGUGACCCUGAGUAAGUCACUGGGAGUUUCUGAACUUCAUUCCCCUCCAGCGUGCAAUUGGAGAUGCUAAAAAUUCAGUGACUCACAUGGUUUCACUUACUUGUGGAGCAUAAGGAAUAACACGGAGGACAUUAGGAGAAGGAAAGGAAAAGUGAAUUGAAGUAAAUCGGAGGGGGAGACAACACAUGAGACACUGUGGACUCUGAGAAACAAACUGAGGGUUAUGGAAGGGAGGGGUUUGGGGAAUGGAUGAGCCUGGUGGUGGGUAUUAAGGAGGGCACGUAUUGAAUGGAGCACUGGGUGUGGCACAUAAACAAUGAAUCUUGGAACACUGAAAAGAGGUAAAACUAAAUAAAGUUAAAUUAGUAUGUUAAAAAAAUAAAAAUAAAUAAAUAAAUCUUUAAAAAAAAUUCACUGACUCAUCUAUGAAGUGUGAACUGAGCAGUUAUCCUGUAUCUGGCUGUGCGUGCAGUUAUUAUGUAUAAAACAAACAACCAGCACCUGGUUGUGCACAGGUGCUGGGGACACGGUGAUGGAUAAGACAAAGGCAGAGCCUUCCCUGAGUCUGUCCAGCCAGGCAUGCUGGCUUGUAUAAACCGCCAGAAUGAUGCGUAUUUAAAACAACACAUGUAGGACCAUGGGAGCAUAAAAAGGGAACCAGGCUAGGUGGACAUCAGACAGUGCUUCUCAGAAGGGACAUUUAAAUGGAUCUAAGGAAGUUAGCCAACAAAAGACCAAGGACAGAAUGUAUGUGUGUGUCCUGCAGAGAAGGGAAAUGUCCCAGGGAGCAGGAACCAUCAGGUAAAGACGGUGAAGCAGAAUCAACACUGCUACGUUUCAAU